rnacentral:tRNA from 2 species
GGGCUGGCGAAUAAACCUCCCGGCUCAUAACCGGGCGGUCGAAGGUUCGACUCCUUCUCGGCCCA